GUUUGCAUUAUCGGGCGAGUCUUCCUUGGCAGUGUUCGAAUCUGCAGUGCUGCAACAUUAAAUCGAUCACUGCCAAAGGAGAUUUGCCCAGCGAUGCAAUU
rnacentral:pre_miRNA from 1 species